rfam:Streptococcus phocae strain ATCC 51973 contig_33, whole genome shotgun sequence.
CAUCCUGUGCAACCGCUCGACAAUCGUAAAAGUAGACCUAGUCUCACGAUUCUAGGCGAGUCUUCACAGAGGG